AACGCGAAGAACCUUACCUGGGCUCGAACGGCUUCGGACAAUCCUUGGAAACAGGGACUUCCCGCAAGGGACUGGAGUCGAGGUGCUGCAUGGCUGUCGUCAGCUCGUGUCGUGAGAUGUUGGGUUAAGUCCCGCAACGAGCGCAACCCUUACCCCCAGUUGCCAUCAUUUAGUUGGGCACUCUGGUGGAACCGCCUCGGAUAACGGGGAGGAAGGUGGGGAUGACGUCAAGUCCUCAUGGCCUUUAUGUCCAGGGCUACACACGUGCUACAAUGGCCGGUACAAACCGUCGCAAACCCGUGAGGGGGAGCUAAUCGGAAAAAGCCGGCCUCAGUUCGGAUCGUAGUCUGCAACUCGACUACGUGAAGCUGGAAUCGCUAGUAAUCGCGGAUCAGAACGCCGCGGUGAAUACGUUCCCGGGCCUUGUACACACCGGAGUA
rnacentral:rRNA from 1 species